UAGCUUUGGCAGCACAUAUAUUAAAAUUGGAGCAAUACAGAGAAGUUUAACAUGGCCCCAGCGCAAGGAUGACACGCAAAUUCGUGGAGGUCAUUUUGUCUUA